CCUCGCUGUUCUUCUCGUCCUUUGCUGCUCAAGCUCGAUGCCUCCCCCCAAACUAGAUCUGCGACCCAAACCAGAUCUACUGCACUAAGCUCGCCACCGGUCGUCUUCCUUUAGCUCGAUGUUGCUGCUGCUCGUCGAAGACUUGCCAUCUUAUGUGAUAAUGAUCGAUCCUUUUCUUUGUGGGCUUUUCUUCCGGUAAUUAAACAAUGCAAGCUCUGUUUCGUCUUGUAGGUUAGAAGGGAAAAGAUUAGAGAGAGAAUGAAAUACUUGCAAGGUUUAGUACCAGAUUGUAACAAAAUCACAGGAAAAGCAGGCAUGCUUAAUGAAAUCAUCAAUUAUGUUCAAUCUCUUCAAUGACAAGUAGAGGAAUUUUGCCAAAAGACAAUUGACAUGGUUUCAAAAUGAACACAUAUACCACUAGCUUAAAGCUUCUAAACCACUGCUUAUUGCAGGACACUAUUGUAGACUUUAUCUAUGAAUCUUACCAGGAUAAGAGUGGAACUCUCAUUGUUCCUGAACAGUUGAGAAUGUCUAGACAUGUUUCUAAUGGUUGAGAAGCUAAUGACCUCAAGGUCUACUGCUCCAAAAAUAGGACCUGUACAAUGUGGCUUUUGAUCAAGCCAGAACAACCCUGACGUCCUUUCCUUCUCAACCAUUCACAAGUAGCUACAAAAUUCAUGUGCAAUUGAAGCUGGCAAUCUAAAGAUGGAGAUGUGAAAAAGCAGAUGUUAUGCUCCAGCUUGUUGGAUGAGAUAAGUGAAUCUGAAUUUAGUCCUAGCCUUCACAAAAAGGAUGUCUUUUGCAUCUUUGAGAAAAAAUACAGGCUCAAAGUAAUAUGCCUAAUGUUACACAUUUUUUUUUUUGAAAAAAAUUAUCUCAAUGGGACGUGAACAGAGAGGUAUGGACUUUGAACGAUGUGUUUGUUCAUAAUUAAUAUGAUAUUUAUAGUUUAACUAAAUUAUUUUUCUUUAUAUUUUGUAGAUAGAAUGUGAACGAGUACUUUGCAACUAAGUAAGAAUAGUGUUAGAUGUAUUUAUUUGUACCAUGUAAGGAUGAGAGUAUUGCAAAUGUUUUUAGUUUCUCAGGUUGUAAUCUACAUUAUAAUAUUAUGUAUAUCAUGGUAUUGGAAACUAGUUAGUUGAA